AACGAACGCUGGCGGCAGGCUUAACACAUGCAAGUCGAACGCCCCGAAAGGGGGGUGGCAGACGGGUGAGUAACGCGUGGGAAUCUACCCAGUUCUACGGAACAACUGAGGGAAACUUCAGCUAAUACCGUAUACGCCCUACGGGGGAAAGAUUUAUCGGAAUGGGAUGAGCCCGCGUAAGAUUAGCUAGUUGGUGGGGUAAAGGCCUGCCAAGGCGACGAUCUUUAGCUGGUCUGGGAGGAUGAUCAGCUACACUGGGACUGAGACACGGCCCAGACGCUUGAGGGAGGCAGCAGUGGGGAAUAUUGGACAAUGGGUGCAGGCCUGAUCCAGCCAUGCCGCGUGAGUGAUGAAGGCCUUAGGGUUGUAAAGCUCUGUCAGUGGGCACGAUUAUGACGGUACCCACAGAAGAAGCCCCGGCUAACUCCGUGCCAGCAGCCGCCGUAA
rnacentral:rRNA from 1 species